GCCCUGGUAGUGUAGUCCGGUCUAGCACGCAACCCUGUCACGGUUGCGACCCGGGUUCAAAAUCCGUUUGUCGUUGGUCGGUGCAACUGACUACCGGCGACAUACCGAAUGGAAGUCCCGGCCAGGGCG
rnacentral:tRNA from 1 species